rnacentral:rRNA from 1 species
UACUUGUACUUCGGCGUCGAGCGGCGGACGGGUGAGUAAUGCUUGGGAAUAUGCCUUUAGGUGGGGGACAACAGUUGGAAACGACUGCUAAUACCGCAUAAUGUCUACGGACCAAAGGGGGGGCUCUUCGGACCUCUUGCCUAAAGAUUAGCCCAAGUGAGAUUAGCUAGUUGGUGAGGUAAUGGCUCACCAAGGCGACGAUCUCUAGCUGGUUUGAGAGGAUGAUCAGCCACACUGGGACUGAGACACGGCCCAGACUCCUACGGGAGGCAGCAGUGGGGAAUAUUGCACAAUGGGGGAAACCCUGAUGCAGCCAUGCCGCGUGUGUGAAGAAGGCCCUAGGGUUGUAAAGCACUUUCAGUAGGGAGGAAAGGGUGUUGAUUAAUACUCAACAUCUGUGACGUUACCUACAGAAGAAGCACCGGCUAACUUCGUGCCAGCAGCCGCGGUAAUACGAGGGGUGCAAGCGUUAAUCGGAAUUACUGGGCGUAAAGCGUGCGUAGGCGGUUUGUUAAGCAAGAUGUGAAAGCCCAGGGCUCAACCUUGGAACUGCAUUUUGAACUGGCAAACUAGAGUACUGUAGAGGGUGGUGGAAUUUCCAGUGUAGCGGUGAAAUGCGUAGAGAUUGGAAGGAACAUCAGUGGCGAAGGCGGCCACCUGGACAGAUACUGACGCUGAGGCACGAAAGCGUGGGGAGCAAACAGGAUUAGAUACCCUGGUAGUCCACGCCGUAAACGAUGUCAACUAGCCGUCUGUUGCCUUGAGCAGUGGGUGGCGUAGCUAACGCGCUAAGUUGACCGCCUGGGGAGUACGGCCGCAAGGUUAAAACUCAAAUGAAUUGACGGGGGCCCGCACAAGCGGUGGAGCAUGUGGUUUAAUUCGAUGCAACGCGAAGAACCUUACCAUCCCUUGACAUCCUGC